rnacentral:lncRNA from 1 species
GCCGGAGAUUCCAUUUUGUUUUCACCUCCCCCUCCAUUUAUCAACACCAUCUCAGUUUUAGCACGUCUCCUCUUUGUAAGCUUGAGUGCAACAUGGGGUGCUUGCUGAUUGUUAGAUGAUUGUGUUCUGGCUGUCGGGUCUUCAACACUGUUAACCAUAUUGUUAAUACCCUGGGGCGCGUCACCCCCUUCUUCAUGCCCGUCAGCCUGUACUUCUUGUUGAGCGUCAAGCUGCUUCUGUUUCUUCUUUUUAUGCUUUCUUUUAGGCUCCCCAUCUCCUGCACUUGUUGUUGCUGAGCCUCUGUGUGGUUUGUUGACUU